UGAGGAAUAUUGGACAAUGGGCGCAAGCCUGAUCCAGCCAUGCCGCGUGCAGGAUGAAGCAUCUAUGGUGUGUAAACUGCUUUUAUACGGGAAGAAACCCUGGCUCGUGAGCCAGAUUGACGGUACCGUAGGAAUAAGGAUCGGCUAACUCCGUGCCAGCAGCCGCGGUAAUACGGAGGAUCCAAGCGUUAUCCGGAAUCAUUGGGUUUAAAGGGUCCGUAGGCGGUUUUAUAAGUCAGUGGUGAAAUCCGGCAGCUCAACUGUCGAACUGCCAUUGAUACUGUAGAACUUGAAUUAUUGUGAAGUAACUAGAAUAUGUAGUGUAGCGGUGAAAUGCUUAGAUAUUACAUGGAAUACCAAUUGCGAAGGCAGGUUACUAACAAUACAUUGACGCUGAUGGACGAAAGCGUGGGGAGCGAACA
rnacentral:rRNA from 1 species